UACGAAGGGGGCUAGCGUUGCUCGGAAUUACUGGGCGUAAAGCGCACGUAGGCGGCUUUCUAAGUCGGGGUGAAUCCUGGAGCUCAACUCCAGAACUGCCUUCGAUACUGGAGAGCUCGAGUCCGGGAGAGGUGAGUGGAACUGCGAGUGUAGAGGUGAAAUUCGUAGAUAUUCGCAAGAACACCAGUGGCGAAGGCGGCUCACUGGUCCGGUACUGACGCUGAGGUGCGAAAGCGUGGGAG
rnacentral:rRNA from 1 species